GGGAUUGUGGCUCAGUGGUAGAGCGCUCGCCUGGCACAUGCGGGGCCCUGGGUUCGAUCCUCAGCACCA
rnacentral:tRNA from 1 species